AGAGAAGAAAAAAANAAAAAAAAAGAAAAGAAAAACAAACAAUGGUUGGAGCUAUGGAAAGCUUCCUCCCAUAACGGCCCUCCCCUCCCCCAAUGACCCGGGCCCUCCCCUUGGACUCGGACGACGCCGACGACCAUUCCGCACCACCCAGAUCCCACGCCGGAGGCAGCGUCGCCGGUGCCGGCAGCGGCGGAGGCGGCACAGCGAUGCGCAUCAUCGUUCCCCUCCAGGGAGUCGUCCAGGGGCGCGGCGGCCUUGUCCUUGGCUCCCUCAUUCCCUGCGCCCUCUUCUACUUCCUCCAGCUCUACCUCAAGCGCAACCGCCCCUCCUCUCCCUCCCCCUCCCCACCCUCCCCUUCUCCGUCCUCUUCCAACCUCUCGGAGCCUCUCCGCCCAUCCCCCCGGUCCCUCUCCCGGGGCCUCAUCUCCCCACGCGGCUCCUCCGGCCGCGCCUCGCUCUCAUCCCGUGGCGCUGCCAUCGCCAGACCUGAUGAUUGCCCCUACUACAUCGGCUUCAAGAGGUGCGUCGAUGACCCAUACCAUCCCUCCUCGAAUCCUGAUGGCAUCAUGCAGCUCGGUUUGGCCGAAAACCAGCUGUCGCUGGAUCUUGUCCGGGACUGGCUGGAGAGUAACUUGAAGGAAUCCUUUCCAGGUGACAAGGAAACUGGGGGUUUGAGUAUCAGAGGAUUGGCAACCUAUCAGCCAUAUGAUGGUUUGAUGGAUUUGAAGAUGGCUAUGGCUGGAUUCAUGGGUCAAGUCCUGCAAGGAUCAGUUUCAUUCAAUCCAUCGCAAAUUAUAUUAACAGCAGGUGCCACUCCUGCAAUUGAGACAUUAAGUUUCUGUCUGGCAGAUCCUGGAAAUGCAUUUCUUGUUCCUUCACCAUAUUACCCUGGGUGGAACAGAGAUAUAAAGUGGCGAACUGGGGUAGAGUUAAUUCCUGUUCCAUGCCGAAGCACCGAUAACUUCAACAUAAGUAUUGCCGCUCUUGAUAGAGCAUACAAUCAAGCAAAGAAAAGAGGGGUAAAGGUCCGUGCUGUUCUUGUUUCUAACCCAACCAACCCUGUCGGCAACAUUCUGAGUCAGGAAACAAUGUAUGGCCUUCUUGACUUUGCUACAGAGAAAAACAUUCAUCUGAUUUCUGAUGAAAUAUUUGCUGGAUCAACCCAUGGAAGCAAUAAGUUUGUUAGUAUUGCAGAGGUUCUAGAUGCAGAAGGUUUUGACAGAAGCAGGGUUCAUAUAAUAUAUGGACUGUCGAAAGACCUUUCUCUUCCAGGAUUUAGAGUGGGAGUCAUUUAUUCCUACAAUGAACAUGUCCUGGCUGCCGCUGCAAAGCUGGCAAGGUUCUCUUCCAUUUCAGCUACCACUCAAUGGUUACUUGUCUCAAUGCUUUCAGAUACAAAGUUCAUCUCCGAAUAUCUUGAGAUAAACAGAGAGAGGCUACGAAAAAUGUAUGCACUAUUUGUAGGUGGACUGAAACGGAUAGGCAUUGAGUGCACUAGUAGCAGCGCAGGAUUCUACUGUUGGGCAGACAUGAGCAAGUUUAUUCGAUCAUACAGUGAGAAAGGGGAGCUCAAGCUCUGGGAUAAACUGUUAAAUGUAGCUAGGAUCAAUGUAACACCUGGAUCAGCUUGUCACUGCAUUGAACCUGGAUGGUUUAGAUGUUGCUUUACAACAUUGACAGAGAAAGAUAUUCCUGUAGUCGUGGAAAGGAUUAGUAGAAUCACUGAAAGCCAUUAACCUUCAAUGUUGGGAAGACAGGUAAUAUAUUAUCUUCAAGUUACAUUAUGGGGUAUCUGAUAGGUGUGUGGUUUACUGCUUUGAGAAGUUGAGCUGCAAAAACUGGGGAAGUAGACUAUCUUUUCAUUGGAGCUUGACGAGGAAUGCCUUCUAGAUUAUAUGUGUUGUGGAGAGACGUGAAUGUCAAGAUGCUUUUCAAGGGACACUUUGGAGAACCUUGAAGUCAGGCCUGCCAACCCCAAUUUUACCUGCUGCAUCUAAGUGGAUGGUAUUUCUGCAUUUGUUCUUGUCCUACUUUUAAUGGUUCAGCCUCAGUUGUAAUAGGUUAGAAAGUAUUCAAAGUUACAUGAUCAUCCUCUCCUUGCUUCUAGGGAAAAGCAACAGAUUCAAAAAUUUGCAGGUAUGUUAUAGGAACCUUUAUAUUCAUUGAAAUGUAAAUUAUUUUUUUGAUCUCCCUAGAUUACCGAAUGAAAGAUUCUGGUUGAUGUUCUGCUACUAGAAGCAAUUCUGAAAUGCUUUCAGGCAACAGGAGAAUUGUUUUAGCA